GGGCCUCUCCUUCACUGACACGGAUCACCUGUAGGAAGAUGUGGCCACUGGAAGAUCUGGCAUGGCCAGGGCCACCUGACACCAUGCCUGGCCUCCUCGGACGUUUGCCACGUGGCCAGCUCCUCCUGAUCUUGCAGCGGUCUGGGUGCCGGGCGACCUUCCCUCCAGCACUCAGGCUGAUUGGCGGCGCUGCUGACGCCCUGCUCUCUGGGCCUGACGUCCAACACUGAGGUCGCAGACACAUGAGAGGUGCUGGAGGAGCGGGAGCUUUUUCGAGAGGCUUGUUGCCUCCCUGCAGGCACCUCACGGUGUAUACUUGCCCAUUACAGGAGCGGCGUUGGGAAGGAGACCUGGAAGGGGGCAUCUCAGGUCCAGGGCUCAGAAGCCACUGCACCCUUGGAAACCACUGCACCCUCUGGCCCCAGCCUCCUCCAAGGUCACCAUGAGCCAUCUGGGGGUGCAUCCAUCACACUCACCGAACACUUUGCUUCCGUGUUUACAAUGGGUGACUUGGUUCUUAAAAAUAAAAACGCCAACCCACGAAGACAUCCUAUAUACUUUAUCAGGGGCACGUCUUUGGCAGAGGAUUAGCCCAAGAGGGACAGAGGCCUUCUGGGGUCCGCUGCAGGGGGUGGGGGGACGUGCACUUCCUUCUCCCAAGACAUUUGCUCUGGGUCGUGGAGCUUCCGUAAGUGUGGAGGGGAUAUUGGGUGAUUGAAAUGCUUGGGAAUGAGAUUUUAGGAAACUUUGAGAAGAUACAAAUAGAAAUACGUUCGAUUAAGAACAAUCGACCAUCGAACAACAUAGGGGUUAGGAGCACCGACCCCCACCCAACUGAAAGUUGAAGGAUAAAGUUUAAUCCCCUCCACGGUGAGCUACGAAUAGCCUGCCCUGGACCAGAAGCUUGCUGAGAACAUGAAGAGCCGACGGACCCGUGUUUUGUACGCUCUGUGUUAUAUACUGGAUUCUUAUAAUAAAGUAAGCUAGAGAAAAAAAUGCUAUUAAGAAAGUCACCAGGAAGAGAAACCACAUCUCCUUUCAUUAAGUGGAAGCGACUGAUCCUAAAGGUCUCCACCCUCGUCGUCUUCAAGUUGAGUAGGCUGGGGAGGAGGAGGGGUUGGUCUCGCUGUCUCAGGGGUGGCAGACACGGAAGAAAAUCUCAGUGUAAAUGGACUCGUGCAGUUCAGACUCCAGUUGUUCAAGGGUCAACUGUCAUUCCAUCAUCAGUAAUUUUAUUAAAAUGGUGAAAAUAGUCCAAAUUCUUCCAACAAGUCAGGUUAGUGUUGUAAUUAAACAUCCAGGCUGAGCCGAGUGUGAUGGCUUACAACUAAUCCCAGCACUUUGGGAGGCUGAGGCGGGUGGAUCAUUUGAAGUCAGGAGUUCAAGACCAGCCUGGUCAACAUGGUGAAAUCCCAUCUCUACUAAAAAUACAAAAAUUAGCAAGGCGUGGUGGUGCACGCCUGUAAUCCCAGCUACUUGGGGGGCUGAGGCAGGAGAACUGCUUGAACUCAGAAGACAGAGGUUGCAGUGAGCCGAGAUCGCACGACUAUACUCCAGCCUGGGUGAUAGAGUGAGACUCUGUCUUAAAAAAAAAAAAAAAA
rnacentral:lncRNA from 1 species